GGAGGUAGUGACAAUAAAUCACAAUGCGGAACAAUGUUUUGCAAUUGGAUUGAGAACAACGUACAAACCUUAUCGAUAAACAAUUGGAGGGCAAGUCUGGUGCCAGCAGCCGCGGUAAUUCCAGCUCCAAUAGCGUAUAUUAACGUUGUUGCAGUUAAAAAGCUCGUAGUUGAAAUGAAGGGUGGUUGUGUAAUGAAUACAUUCGUGUAUUUUGUUAUUCUACUACCCUCCUUCUAAAUUCGAUAUAUGAGUAUUAAUUUACUUGUAUAUGGUUUUAGACUUUUACUGUGAGAAAAUUAGAGUGUUCAAAGCAGGCAUUUGCUUGAAUAUAUUAGCAUGGAAUAAUCAUGUAUGAUUUUCAUGAUGUAUUUGAUUGGUUUGGUUCAUGAGAAUAAGAUUAAAAGGGACAGUUGGGGGUAUUCAUAUUCAAUAGUCAGAGGUGAAAUUCUCGGAUUUAUGGAAGAUGAACAAGUGCGAAAGCA
rnacentral:rRNA from 1 species